rnacentral:rRNA from 1 species
CCCCUAGAUGUCCUGGGCCGCACGCGCAAUACAAUGUAAAGUUCAGAAAGCAUAUCCUGUUCCGGAAGGCAAUGGGUAAUCUUUUCAAUAUUUUACGUGUUAGGGAUCGAUCUUUGCAAUUAUAGAUCUUGAACGAGGAAUACCUAGUAAGUGCAGCUCAUCAGGCUGUACUGAUUACGUCCCUGCCCUUUGUACACACCGCCCGUCGCUCCUACCGAUUUCGAGUGGUCCGGUGAAUCUUUUGGAAUUAGAGUGCAAACUCAAACUAAGAUCGAUAAACCUGAUCACUUAGAGGAAGGAGAAGUCGUAACA